GACGAACGCUGGCGGCGUGCCUAAUACAUGCAAGUCGAACGCAGUGGGGACGGGUGAGUAACACGUGGGUAACCUCCCAUCAGAGGGGAUAACACUUGGAAACAGGUGCUAAACCGAUACUGAUGGAUGGACCCGCGGUGCAUUAGCUAGUUGGUGAGGUAACGGCGCACCAAGGCCACGAUGCAUAGCAGACCUGAGAGGUUGAUGGGGCCCACUGGAACUGAGACACGGCCCAGACGCCUACGGUAGGCAGCAGUGGGGAAUCUUCGGCAAUGGACGAAAGCCGGACCGAGCAACGCCGCGUGAGUGAAGAAGGUUUUCGGAUCGUAAAACUCUUUUGUUAGAGAAGCGGUAUCUAACCAGAAAGCCACGGCUAACUACGUGCCAGCAGCCGCGGUAAUAC
rnacentral:rRNA from 1 species